AUUGAAACACCGGUUCCCAUACGAUCACCGAAGUUAAGCAACGUCGAUCCUGGUCAGUAAAUAUAUGGGUGACAGCUUGGAAAUGCCAGGUGCUGUAAG